GGGGAUAUGGCGAAAUCGGUAGACGCUACGGACUUAAAA
rnacentral:tRNA from 1 species